UCCCCUUCGACCUCAAAUCAAGCAAGACUACCCGCUGAACUUAAGCAUAUCAAUAAGCGGAGGAAAAGAAACCAACAGGGAUUACCUUAGUAACGGCGAGUGAAGCGGUAAAAGCUCAAAUUUGAAAUCCCCCCGGGGAGUUGUAAUUUGAAGGUUUAACUUUUAGGACCAGCGCAAAGUCCAUUGGAACAUGGCGCCACAGAGGGUGAGAGCCCCGUAGGCAACGGUCCGCCUAUAAAGUUAUUCCAAAGAGUCGAGUUGUUUGGGAAUGCAGCUCUAAGUGGGUGGUAAAUUCCAUCUAAAGCUAAAUAUUGGCGAGAGACCGAUAGCGAACAAGUACAGUGAUGGAAAGAUGAAAAGCACUUUGAAAAGAGAGUGAAACAGUACGUGAAAUUGUUGAAAGGGAAGGGCUUGCAAGCAGACACGAUUCUCUCGGGAAUUGGGCCAGCAUCGGUUGCCGGGGGUAGAAAAAAACGCAGAAAUGUGGCACUGGGCUUCGGCCCGGUGUGUUAUAGUCUGACGUUAAUAUACCCACUGGCGACCGAGGCCUGCGUUCUAAACAAGGAUGCUGGCGUAAUGGUUGCAAGUCGCCCGUCUUGAAACACGGACCAAGGAGUCUAACGUCUAUGCGAGUAUUAGGGUGGAUAAAACCCCAUAGUGCGCAAUGAAAGUAAGAGGUUGGACCGCAGGCGCACAAUCG
rnacentral:rRNA from 1 species